rnacentral:rRNA from 1 species
GUGGCGGAUAGGCUCGCGGGACAUUAGCUAGACGGCGGGGCAACGGCCCACCGUGGCGACGAUGUCUAGGGGUUCUGAAGGAAGCCCCCCCACACUGGGACUGAGACACGGCCCAGACUCCUACGGGAGGCAGCAGUGAGGAAUAUUGGUCAAUGGGCGGAAGCCUGAACCAGCCAUGCCGCGUGAAGGACUAAGGCCUACGGGUCGUAAACUUCUUUAGACGCAGAGCGAGUAUGCGUAGAAUAAGCAUCGGCUAACUCCGUGCCAGCAGCCGCGGUAAUACGGGGGAUGCAAGCGUUAUCCGGAUUCAUUAGGUUUAAAGGGUGCGUAGGCGGCCGAGUAAGUCAGCGGUGAAAGACCGGGGCUCAACCCUGGAAGUGCCGUUGAUACUGUUUGGCUGGAAUGAUCCCGCCGCGGGAGGAAUGAGUGGUGUAGCGGUGAAAUGCAUAGAUAUCACUCAGAACACCGAUUGCGAAGGCAUCUCGCGAGGGGUCUAUUGACGCUGAGGCACGAAAGCGUGGGGAUCGAACAGGAUUAGAUACCCUGGUAGUCCACGCAGUAAACAUGAUGGCUAACUGUCGGGCGGCGGCCAAGCGAAAGCGAUAAGCCAUCCACCUGGGGAGUACGACCGCAAGGUUGAAACUCAAAGGACUUGACGGAAGGGC